rnacentral:rRNA from 1 species
UACGUAGGGUGCAAGCGUUAAUCGGAAUUACUGGGCGUAAAGCGUGCGCAGGCGGUUAUGUAAGACAGUUGUGAAAUCCCCGGGCUCAACCUGGGAAUUGCAUCUGUGACUGCAUAGCUAGAGUACGGUAGAGGGGGAUGGAAUUCCGCGUGUAGCAGUGAAAUGCGUAGAUAUGCGGAGGAACACCGAUGGCGAAGGCAAUCCCCUGGACCUGUACUGACGCUCAUGCGACGAAAGCGUGGGGAGCAAACAGG